AAUUGAGUAAUAAUUAUAGCCUUAUUAAAUUUACUCGAAACUUUUGUACUUAUAUAGAAUUUGUACUUUAGCGUGUAGUUGCGCUCUCUGAAAAGGGUUUCCACGGAAGACCAGCGUCAAGAUCCUUACGUGGUAUCUUGACAUUAAGCUGAGUGAAGACCUUUUCAGUGACGCUUAAUAAUAAAUUAGUUCUGUCUGUUGUCUCAUGUAAUACCUAAAUUUAAGCGUUUUCUGAAUAAAUUUCUUCUAUUCUA